rnacentral:lncRNA from 1 species
AUACUUAUUGGAAAAAUAAAUAACUUUUGGCUCCUUUCAAAUUUUGAACAAGAUGGACUACAUAAAGAUGACAUCGUUAAAAAUUAAAUGCUGCAUAGAUAAUUUUCAACCCAUAUGAAAACUUUUCCGUACUAAUCAUUGAACAAUAGUUCUACAGUUGGUCAGCGAAAAAAUACUUUUGUAUUUUUCGCUUUAUUACAUCUAUAAGAAUUGUUACAAUCAUCUGAAUUAGUCCAAGCGUUCUGUUCGAGAAAUUUUUGCUAACGGGAAUAUAACUUUAAAAUGCUCUUCCUAUGGAAGCCUCUAUCUCUAUUGGCAAAAAUCUCGGACAACCAAUUUUUCAGACCUCUAGUGAUUGAAAAUCUGUACCCCAAACGCGUUGUCUAUAGACAGGAACAGGUGGUAGUCACUUGAUGUCAGGUUCUGGUUGUAGAAAAAAUUAAAUGAUGGACGUCUCAUUUAUUCAAAUCUUUCCAUGGAUAUUUGUUGGUAUGUUAUUUGAAGUUUAUAACACCACUUUUUUUUAAAUCGUAAUAUAUUAAUAAAUUUAAUAUAAUAUACACUACAGGUGCUAUAUUAUAAUGCAUGCCUGCACUAAAUGGGUCCAAACAUUAAGAAGAAAUGACAUUGACCAUUUUCAAUGUUAUUUCUAGCUCUUUCCUUGGCUUGAGAAACCCUGCAGAACUCUUUUCUAGUUUAUUUAUAUAUUAUAGCGAAAUAUCCUUAAGGCAAAUGGCUUUAAGGCAAAAUGUUUUAAAGAAAAUUUUCUAAUUAAAAAUAGUUGAAGGUACCUAAUGUCAGAUACUACAACAAUAGGAGAGAGUGACGCCAUUGAUAAACUACCCGAUAAUGUUUGUGUGAGUGAGUGGGGAUUAAACGGAGGAUAAUACUUAUAAUUAAUCUUUUAAUCAAUAUAUACAUAAAUAUAUCCAAACAUGAAAAUAUAAUCAUAAAAUUACCUUUUGACAAAUUUAAUUAAAAUGUGUUUAUGUUCAUAAUAUCUAUAAAUAGGCUAUUUUUGAUAAAAGGCUUAAGAAAAGGGAGAUUAAGUCUAAGAACUAGUGUUGGUUUGCUAUUUGAAAGUCUUAGACCGGUUUGAAACCAUUAUAAUUCUUUCGGUACUUUAUUUUCACUUUAAGGAAGUUCGCAGUAGCUUUUGUUUGUAUUUAUUAUUUGUCUUUUAUGUAUAUAAAUACAAUUCAUACUCAUUAUCAGUAUAUGUUACAGAUUUGAUAGAUAAUAUAAAAUUUAUAUUUUAAAAUGAA